CUCUGGACCCCUUUUGGUCUUUGAGGAGGCUUUUUAUAAGUUCUGCCAGGCACAGGGCUUCGAAUAUCUCACGGGCCGAGUGUGGAUCGGGUUCUGGCUCAUCUUCAUUGUCCUAGUGAUCGUGGCAGCUGAGGGAAGCUUCCUUGUGCGCUACAUCUCUCCAUUCACCCAGGAGAUCUUUGCAUUUCUCAUCUCUCUCAUUUUCAUCUAUGAAACCUUCUCUAAGCUAAUUAAGGUGUUUCAAGAGCACCCUCUGAUGAAGAGCUACCCU